CCAUGGGUUUUGGACGUUGACGGAGCACGUCAGAGAAGGAAGACGGAGACCGCGCUUGUUUGAAAUUGAAAGGUGUCGCGGUAGCUUUUGAUAAAGAUUGUCAUCAAGACGAAGCAGCUGCAUUAUAAGUGGGAUGCACUGUUGACCGCAACAUCUCGAGGCGUUCGUGCUGAUUGUACGGAGAUUGUGACAGCGGGUUAAAUGACGUCCCUUGAGAAAGCAAGAACAAGAUAUGUCAGGAGAAGUGCAGUAUUACAUAAUGAGAUGUAUACUUGGAAAAUGGAUAUGGUUUGUUAAAGAAGAAUGGUAGAAAGUGUAAACUGAGUGAGCUGAAGACCGGUGGAGAAAUGGAAGUGAAUGAGGGCGAAGUAUCGGAGGUUCCCAUUUCAUGACAAGCCCAGGCUACAGCAGUGGGUAGCAACUGUCAGGCGGAUGAAUUGGAAACCAACCCAACACUCUUGUAUCUGCCCAUCACUUUUAAGAUGAGUGUUUUUGGGAUGAUGACAGGGGAAAGGUCAGCCUCACUGCUUCUGCUUGUGCCCAUUAUUUUCUCCCCUGGUUGUCUUCAAAAGUGGUCACAAUGCCCCAGGGAAAGAUCAAGGAAUACAGUAGGUACAGAGGGGGAGAGUCUCCGCCAAGAAUUUACGACCUGAGAUAACAGAACCUGGGUGUAGGAGUCAGAGGGGGAAGCCACGAUCUACACCCAAAAAGGGCCACAUCAUGACAACUGUGAUGCUGAAUGUGCAUGAUGACACCAGUGGUAUGUCAGAUGUAGGCCUACAUCACAAUGACAUAGCUGUGAUAGUGGAUGCCGGCUGCUGCUGAUUUCUUGCUUCUCACUAGGCGAUGUUGCCACACCUCAGCUGAGCAGAGGAUCCAAUAUGACAAACCAUGCAGUAAUUUCUCAAUGGUACAGCUUCUUGGUUAAAUACAAAGGUUCUCUUUCAUUUUCUCCUCUACAUUUGGAUUGACAAUGGUGCUUGUGUGCAUCUAAUAUAUUUUAUGAGCUUUGAUUAGAAGCAUAACCAAACGGCUUUAGAAGUAUAACACAGAAACUAUAGAUAACGUUAUCCAGAAAUCUUAAAAUCUGUUUUCUGAAAGUUAUUUUAAAACUGUAAAUCCCUAUCCUAAAGAAAAUUAUCCAACUUGUUACUCUAUUUUGGACUAUCGGUUUCUGUCAAAACACCCACACUGAUGAAAGUGAUAUUGUGGAAAGCCUAGAUAUGGAACCGCUUGGAUGAUAUCAGUCUUUGGGCAAGGCAUCAUGAGGUUAAAUCAUGUCCUCUGCCUCUCUCACUCCUCUCUGUCACUUCUCUCCUCUACACGUGGUCAUUGCUUCAGCACGUGGACAUUGCGGUCCUCCUGAUCAAGUUCAAAUGAAGUGUUCAGUAUUCUCUGAUUCUCAACACAAGUAAAAGAGGUCUCAUACAGUGAGUAUACCAAACAUUAGGAAGAACUUCCUAAUAUUGAGUUGCACCCCAUUUUGCCCUCAGAACAGCCUCAAUUCAUUGGGGCAUGGACUCUACAAGGUGUCAAGUGUUCAACAGGGAUGCUGGCC